rnacentral:rRNA from 1 species
CAGGCUUAACACAUGCAAGUCGAACGCACCGCAAGGUGAGUGGCAGACGGGUGAGUAACACGUGGGAACGUACCCUUUUGUUCGGAAUAACCCUGGGAAACUAGGGCUAAUACCGGAUACGCCCUAACGGGGAAAGGUUUACUGCAGAAGGAUCGGCCCGCGUCCGAUUAGCUUGUUGGUGGGGUAAUGGCCUACCAAGGCUUCGAUCGGUAGCUGGUCUGAGAGGAUGACCAGCCACAUUGGGACUGAGACACGGCCCAAACUCCUACGGGAGGCAGCAGUGGGGAAUAUUGGACAAUGGGCGCAAGCCUGAUCCAGCCAUGCCGCGUGAGUGAUGAAGGCCUUAGGGUUGUAAAGCUCUUUUACCUGGGAAGAUCAUGACGGUACCAGGAGAAUAAGCCCCGGCUAACUUCGUGCCAGCAGCCGCGGUAAUACGAAGGGGGCUAGCGUUGUUCGGAUUUACUGGGCGUAAAGGGCGCGUAGGCGGGCUGAUAAGUCAGGGGUGAAAUCCCAAGGCUCAACCUUGGAACUGCCUUUGAUACUGUUGGUCUUGAGUCCGGGAGAGGUGAGUGGAACUGCGAGUGUAGAGGU